CGAAAUUUUGUUUAGAGUGCAUCUACUUUAUAACCAGACCUCAACAGUAAAAAAAUUUACCCGAUCCAGUUUUUCUCCUCUUUGUGAAGAACCCUAAAUCUCCCUCACUUUCAAUUAGUCAUAAUUUUUUGCCAAGAUAUGGAAUUCCAAACUGAAUUAAAGCCUUGUAUCUGAAUCAAAGCCUUAUUCUUCUCUGAAAGCUUUCGUUUCAUCUGAUUUUAGGGCAUAUUUUAAGUGGGCCGAAAUUUCUUCUGAUUUUAGGAGUUUUUUCUGAUUUUCUGUGUCGCACAUAAUGCGGUCAACUAACUUGGCUAUGCUUUAUAUGAAAGAUGUUGAUCCUGUAUUAAAUGAAAAGGUGAGCUACAACCAUGCUUAGGUGUUACGGAUGUUGACAGUUUGGACCCUUACGAAUCUGAGUAGAUGAUAUUGGGUGUAUCCAUACUAUGGGAGUCCAAGAUCUUGUGAUUUUUUAUGUUGGAGGGACGCCGAAAUUAAUCGAAGAACGAAAUUUGUUAUUCGUAAACUUGCGGAAAAAAUUGGUGAUCUUGAAAGUGAAUUAGAAGUUUAUGAAACUGUUGAGAAGCGUAAGGAAAGAAAACAAGUGAAAAAGAAGAUAGAGAUACAAUUGGAGAAGUUGGAGGGAAAGAUAGAGAAGAUGAAAGAAAGGGAAACGAAGUAGAGGAGCAGAUUGGUUAAGUCCAAGAUUAGGAAAAAAAUACUUUGAUUUUUUAUGUUGUAUGAAUGUGUUAGCUAUAAGCUUUUGGUUUCAUCUAGUAUAUGUGGAGAAUGUUGCAACAAAGUUGCCUAGGCUUUGUUACGAUUGUAAUUUCUUUAGUGUUGCAUCAAUUAGUUGUAGCAUUUUUUGUAAAAACUUGGGGUAACUUUUGUAACAUAAUACACUUUGUUCA